rnacentral:lncRNA from 1 species
ACUCAGGCGGGUAGAGGCCCGGGUCGAACCCUAGCUGAGCAGCGGGGGCCCGGAUAGCGGAGCCCUGCGCGGAGAGGGGUGGGGGCGCGCGGAGGGCGCGCGCGCGGAGGGCCCCGCCUCGGCCGGCUCUUCCCUCCCCCUCCCCGCCCCCGGUCCGCCGCUGGGGCGCGCGCCUCGCCUCGCACCCCCACCCCGACCCUCCAAGCUCCGCGGGGCCCGCCGAGCCGCCGAGGCCGUGUGCCGGCCCGCUGAGCGGUUCCGGGGGUAGGGUUCACAGGUCAGAGUUGACUCCCUGAAAAGUGCAGCCGGUUUGAAAUGCAAGAUGGCGGCGGCGGGGCGCUGAGAGGCGCGGCGGCCCCUGCAGGAGAUGGCAGAUAGAUACUUUGGACCUGUUGGUAAUGAUGGCCUGAGCUAAACACCUCCUAAUUUGAAGGGACACCCUUCCAUGUCAAAGAAAAUGCUGAGGAAGCUGUGGCAAAGCACCUGGCUACUCAGUUGUGCAACUGAACUCUAACCUCUUUUACAGUUCAAGUUAAUAAACAUGUAGUGAGUCCCUACUUCCAGGCUUCUUGUAUGCAAAGCAGAUACAGAAAUGAACGAGAAGUCAGCCCAAAUAGCUCAGCUGGAAGAGUGUUAGAUUGAAGAAAUAAAGAUUCUUCGUUCAAUCCAGUUUCAGGAGCUUUGUUAUAUCUCAAUAAAGCUAUUACUUAAAAAAAAAA